AUUUUCAGGUUCAAUAACGCAUCGUGUGGACAUGCAAUCGGAGAUAUUUUGAGGUCCAAUUUUAAAGGAGCAUGGCACUCUUGGGAAAAAGUAGAUUCAAUGUGCAGGGAUGAACUCUUUAAAGAGUUUAAGAAAAAAUAUUCCUUUCCUGAGGAAGAUGAGUCGAUUGUUCGUAAUAUUUGGGAAGAUAAGGCUAGGAUAGCUUUGAAUCGGCAAUUGACACGAGCUCACAAGAAAGCCAUGUCAAAAGAAAACACUACAAAUAUUAUAGAUUGCCUUGAUAAAGGUCCUGCUUGGAUAAACAAUGCUGACUGGAAUCAAAUGAUCAAAAAUGUUUGGUCCACCCCUGAAUUUCAAAGGAGGUCUGAAUCUGCUAAGAGGAAUCGAUUAACCAAAACAGAUGGUAAAAUAAGCACUCAUUCUGGAGGAACAGUGUCAUUUGCAUCAUAUCGAGCUAACAUGGUAAUGAUUUUUUUUUAUUAUGCUUAAGAUAAUGAAUUAAAUUUUAUAUAUUUAUCUUUUAUAAUAUUUAUUAAUCUUGAAAGCAAGAGGAAGCUGGUGGAAAAGAACCUCCAUGGGAUAAUGUCUUUUCAGCUUUGCAUCAGAGUACUAAGCAGUCUGGUAGCUUCGUCGACAACAAGUCUAAAAAAGUGGUUGAGAAUUAUAAAAAGGAGAUGAUUUCAAAGUAUGGAACUAAUCGAGAAAAUCAUCCUUCAUUUGAUGGAGCAACUUGGUGUGUGGCUUCAGGAGGAGUUACAAAGGGUAGGGUAUAUGGUGCACCUCGUAUGCCAAAAUCUAUAGUUAGUACAAGUUCUUCAUCACAUUCCUACUCGGUGGAGUCAUCAUAUCCCAGUUCAUCGUAUCGAGCGUUGCAACAAAGGAUAAAGGAUAAAGAAGAGGAGAUAAAGAAAAAAGAUGAUUUUAUUCUUGAAAUGAAACGGCAGAUGGAUUCUAUGCAAGAAUAUCUUGUGAACAAUCUUGGAUACCGUGGUGGGACAUCAAAUAUUGGCCAAGGUAUGCCUUCACCUAUGGCUCCCCAGAUAAUGACACCUAUGGGUCCCACAUCUCAACCACUUUAUCGACCUACACCUCGAUCACUAUAUCCUGAUCAAUCUUGUGUCGAUCCCCAAUAUCAUGGUUCGUCUUCGCAACCACCACCAUGAUUGUAUCUUUUGUUAUUUUUUUUUAAUUGUAUUUCGACAUAAUUGUAUUAAUGCAAGUUUGACUAAAUUUUUAUAAUAUGAAUAUUAUUUUUAUUU